rnacentral:rRNA from 1 species
GAUGAACGCUGGCGGCGUGCCUAAUACAUGCAAGUCGAACGCAUUGAGAGAAGUGCUUGCACUUUUCAAUUUGAGUGGCGAACGGGUGAGUAACACGUGGGCAACCUACCUGAUAGCGGGGGAUAACGAGUGGAAACAUUCGCUAAUACCGCAUAACAAUAGAGAAGGCAUCUUCUUUAUUUAAAAGGCGCUUUCAAGCGUCACUAUCAGAUGGGCCCGCGGUGCAUUAGUUAGUUGGUGGGGUGAAGGCCUACCAAGACGAUGAUGCAUAGCCGAGUUGAGAGACUGAUCGGCCACAUUGGGACUGAGACACGGCCCAAACUCCUACGGGAGGCUGCAGUAGGGAAUCUUCCACAAUGGACGAAAGUCUGAUGGAGCAACGCCGCGUGUGUGAUGAAGGCUUUCGGGUCGUAAAGCACUGUUGUAUGGGAAGAAAUGCUAGGCUAGGAAAUGAGCUUAGUUUGACGGUACCAUACCAGAAAGGGACGGCUAAAUACGUGCCAGCCGCCGCCGUAAUAC